CGUUAGCGCUCCCCACUUCUCCCACCGCCAGCCGCGCCAAUCGCCAGGCAUCAGCGUGGGCGGCCAUGUCCAGGUUCUGGAAGCCGGGGUCGGAGAAGCCGAGCACCCUACUCGUCGACGACGAGGAGGGCGGGGUCGUCUUCCUCCCCUCCUCCACCACCUCCGCAUCCUCCUCCGGGUUUGGGUACGCGAGCUUGGAGAGGCAGCGGCAGCGGCUGCCGGUGUACAAGUACCGUAAGGCUAUCCUCUACCUGGUGGAGCGGCACGCCACCACCAUCGUCGUCGGCGAGACAGGCAGCGGCAAGUCCACACAGAUCCCUCAGUACCUUAAGGAGGCUGGUUGGGCUGAUGGUGGUCGACUUAUUGGAUGCACUCAGCCCAGGCGAUUGGCUGUGCAGGCGGUUGCAUCAAGGGUAGCUGAAGAAGUAGGCGUGAAACUUGGAGAAGAAGUCGGUUAUACAAUCCGAUUCGAAGAUCAAACAAAUCCGGGUAUGACCAUGAUAAAAUUUCUCACAGAUGGGGUAUUGAUUAGAGAAAUGAUGGAAGAUCCUCUUCUUACCAAAUAUAGUGUAAUUAUGGUGGAUGAAGCUCAUGAAAGAUCCAUCUCGACCGACAUGUUGCUGGGACUCCUGAAAAAGAUUCAGCGUCGCCGGCCCGAGCUGCGUCUGAUCAUCUCCUCUGCAACAAUUGAAGCAAGAUCAAUGUCAACUUUCUUCAACAUUAGGCGGAAGAAUUCCUUGCUUGGGUCUUCUGAUGAUUUGCCCAACCCAGAACCUGCUAUACUUUCUGUUGAAGGUAAAGGAUACACCGUGGAAAUUCAUUAUGUUGAAGAACCUGUCUCAGACUACUUACGGGCUGCUGUGAAUACUGUACUUCUUAUUCAUGAAAAGGAACCACCAGGGGAUAUCUUGGUAUUCUUAACUGGUCAGGAUGACAUAGACGCUGCUGUUAAGUUGCUGAAUGAAGAAAUUCAGCACCUUGGAAGACACUAUUUGGACUUGCUGAUUUUGCCCUUGUACUCUGGCCUUCCACGUGGAGAUCAAGAUCUCAUUUUCGCUCCUACUUCAAAAGGAAAAAGAAAAGUUGUGUUAUCAACCAACAUUGCCGAGACGUCACUGACUUUGGAGGGUGUGGUGUAUGUUGUUGAUAGCGGAUUUUCCAAGCAGAAGUGUUAUAAUCCGAUUUCUGACAUCGAGAGUUUAGUCGUUGCACCGAUAUCCAAGGCCUCUGCAAGACAACGAGCAGGCAGAGCUGGAAGGGUGCGGCCUGGGAAGUGCUUUAGGCUUUAUACAGAGGAAUACUAUCUUAAUGAAAUGCAGUCAGAAGGAAUUCCAGAAAUGCAAAGGUCCAACUUGGUCUCCUGCAUCAUACAGUUAAAAGCCCUAGGCAUAGACAACAUUCUUGGCUUUGAUUGGCCAGCUUCUCCAUCUCCAGAGGCAAUGAUUCGGGCCCUCGAAGUUCUAUUCUCCCUAGGAAUCCUUGAUGAAGAUGCCAAAUUGACAGUACCCAUUGGUUUCCAAGUUGCUGAGAUCCCUCUGGACCCCAUGAUUUCGAAAAUGAUCUUGUCAGCAAAUGAUUUUGGAUGCUCUGAUGAGAUAUUGACCAUAGCAUCAUUUCUAUCUGUUCAAUCUGUGUGGGUUUCUGUGAGGGGAGUGAAGAAGGAAUUUGAUGAAGCCAAGCUUCGAUUUGCUGCUGCUGAGGGAGAUCAUGUAACAUUCCUGAAUAUCUACAAAGGAUUUCACCAGUCUGGAAAAUCUAGCCAAUGGUGUUACAAGAACUUUUUGAAUUACCAAGCAUUGAAGAAAGUCGUUGAAAUUAGGGGCCAGCUUCUCAGGAUAGUGAAGGGUUUUGGAAUACCGCUGAAAUCAUGUGACAGAGAUAUGCAGGCAGUUAGAAAGGCCAUUAUUGCCGGUUCAUUUGCUAAUGCAUGUCAUCUGGAGGAAUACAGCCAAAAUGGAAUGUAUAAGAUGCUUAGGACAUCAAAAGAAGUAUACAUUCAUCCAUCUUCAGUUCUCUUUAGGGUCAAUCCCAAGUGGGUUGUUUACCAGUCUCUCGUUUCAACCGACAAGCACUACAUGAGGAAUGUUAUUGCCAUUGAACCGUCAUGGCUUACAGAAGCUGCACCGCAUUUUUAUCAGUUCCGAACACCGAAUCCAACUCUCCACUAACUUAACUCUGGGAGCUUUACUUUCUUAGCGGCACACUUUUAAUGAUGAAAAGGAUAUGCCCAACAGUUGUGGCGUUAUCCUACUCCAGUAAUUAUGGGACAUUGCUAAGGAAAUUGCUUGGCUGCAGCUCCUGGGAUAACCGAUAUGGCUGAGAAAUUUCAAAAGGCAGUUAUUUUCGCUGCACAUAUUCCUGAAGAUGCCAAUAU